rnacentral:rRNA from 1 species
AGUGAACGCUGGCGGUAGGCCUAACACAUGCAAGUCGAACGGCAGCACAGUAAGAGCUUGCUCUUACGGGUGGCGAGUGGCGGACGGGUGAGGAAUACAUCGGAAUCUACUUUUUCGUGGGGGAUAACGUAGGGAAACUUACGCUAAUACCGCAUACGACCUACGGGUGAAAGCAGGGGAUCUUCGGACCUUGCGCGAUUGAAUGAGCCGAUGUCGGAUUAGCUAGUUGGCGGGGUAAAGGCCCACCAAAGCGACGAUCCGUAGCUGGUCUGAGAGGAUGAUCAGCCACACUGGAUCUGAGACACGGUCCAGACUCCUACGGGAGGCAGCAGUGGGGAAUAUUGGACAAUGGGCGCAAGCCUGAUCCAGCCAUACCGCGUGGGUGAAGAAGGCCUUCGGGUUGUAAAGCCCUUUUGUUGGGAAAGAAAAGCAGCAGGUUAAUACCCCGCUGUUCUGACGGUACCCAAAGAAUAAGCACCGGCUAACUUCGUG